rnacentral:ribozyme from 1 species
AGCUGGGCGUGCCCGUGCCGGCGGCGACUGCGACGGCGACCCGCAACGUGUCUGGCAACGGGUAUCGCCACGGCGGCGGGC